GAUGAACGCUGGCGGCGUGCCUAACACAUGCAAGGUCGAGCGAGAAGGUGCAGACGGAUUCUUCGGAUGAAGGAAGCACUAGAGAGCGGCGGACGGGUGAGUAACGCGUGGGUAACCUGCCCUAUGGAGGGGGAUAACGUUUUGAAAAGAACGCUAAUACCGCAUAAGCAAACGAGAUCGCAUGAUCUAGUUUGAAAAACUCCGGUGCCAUAGGAUGGACCCGCGUAAGAUUAGCUAGUUGGUAAGGUAAUGGGCUUACCAAGGCGACGAUCUUUAGCCGACCUGAGAGGGUGAUCGGCCACAUUGGGACUGAGACACGGCCCAAAAC
rnacentral:rRNA from 1 species